rnacentral:rRNA from 1 species
UUGGAGGGCAAGUCUGGUGCCAGCAGCCGCGGUAAUUCCAGCUCCAAUAGCGUAUAUUAAAGUUGUUGCAGUUAAAAAGCUCGUAGUUGAAUUUCGGGGUUAGUAGGUUGGUCAUGCCUCUGGUAUGUACUGGUCUCACUGAAUCCUCCUUCCUGAUGAACCGUAAUGCCAUUAAUUUGGUGUUGCGGGGAAUUUGGACUGUUACUUUGAAAAAAUUAGAGUGUUUAAAGCAAGCUAACGCUUGAAUACAUUAGCAUGGAAUAAUGAAAUAGGACGUUCGAUCCUAUUUUGUUGGUUUCUAGGAUUGACGUAAUGAUUAAUAGGGAUAGUUGGGGGCAUUAGUAUUCAAUUGUCAGUGGUGAAAUUCUUGGAUUUAUUGAAGACUAACUACUGCGAAAGCAUUUGCCAAGGAUGUUUUCAUUAAUCAAGAACGAAAGUUAGGGGAUCGAAGACGAUCAGAUACCGUCGUAGUCUUAACCAUAAACUAUGCCGACUAGGGAUCGGAUGAUGUUAAUUUUUUAAUGAAUCGUUCGGCACCUUACGGGAAAC